rfam:Aedes aegypti strain Liverpool supercont1.101 genomic scaffold, whole genome shotgun sequence.
UGACUAGUAGCUGAGUUGGUAAAGCACACGUCUAGCAAACAAGGGUAGUGGGUUCGAAUCCCACCUGAGCAC